UCUACAUGUUUAAAAAGUACCUUCAGUGUAUUUGGUCUGGGAAGUAAAAGCCAGUAAUUCUUAAGCAUCAAUACAGCAUCUGGGACAGAAAGUUGGCUACAAAACUCAAAAUCCUGGAAACCAAAGCUGCAGAGCGUGAAAAGCUGACAGGAAUCAGCCCGUUCUGUUAAUUUUCUACUUCAAAACAAUUAUGCAGUAGCUUUCCACAUAUGGACAGACCAGCAGGAUGACGAGACCUACCUGCUGCACUGUGCCCACAAACACAAGUUCUGUUUGAUAUUCAGCAGGAGUUCGGCAGCCCAGUAGCAUUGCUCUUGACGUGCCUGGUAAAGAGCUAUUUUGGGGAGCCCUACAAACGUUUACAGGAUUUCAGAUUAGAGACUCAAGGGAAUUCACUGAUACAAAUUACUGUAAUUUCUCUGAGGUCAUUACAAUUUUAAGCAAAAGCAAGGGCAAAUUGCAACAUGAAUUUUCAAACAAAGCAGAAUAAUAAUAAUGCUGAUCAAAGUUUGAUGAUGCUUUAAAUACCCAACACAAACUUCUCUGCAAAAUAAUUCCCAUCAGCAUAAAAGCCUUUGAUUUACAUGCCAAAUGUUGCUUGGAAAACAAUAGUUCAAGAACAUUGCCUUUCAGAACUGUAUUUUCUAAACUUUGAUACUGUAGAAACUUAAGAUACUUUGAUGUUUGUGUACUUGCAGUGUGCAAGACCUCAUCUCAGAAGUGAAACCUCCACCUUCCCUUGUAAAACAAUUUCAACAUGCCAUACUCUGAGAGCUUUUUGCCUGUGCAUGAUGCAGCUCUUAGCUACAGCAGCACAGUUUCCUGAACACUAACAAACAUCUCCAGCACAACAUUCCAUUCCCACUGUUUCCAUAACGCAACUCUUAGUUUCCCACGUUUCUCCUUCCAAAAGCUCCCUAAUGUCCCACCUGCCUACCCACACUUGCUAGGAAACUGGGAUCACCACCUCCUCUUUUUCCAAGCACUCCUGUUUUUGUAUAGACAUAUUUUGCCUACACUUCUGACAGGACUUAAGAAGCUCUUACAGUGAUGUCUUUGAGGAGCACCAAUUCCAUUUUCAUGCUGGGAUGCCUGCAAGCAGUGCUUCACUCAGGCUCAUCACCUUCAGCACAGAGAAUGCUUUGUAACUGUCAUAUUCAUCUCCAUUCAUCCACAUCCUAAUCAACAUUUUUGGAAAGGAAACAGCAAAAAUGGAAGAUUGGAACAAUACAUCCUCUGACAAUAACAAAUAUCCUCAACACAUGCGAAGAAAAUUAGAGCUACACUUCAUGAGUGCAACAUCACUAUUCAACAAACACAGAGGAAUUUCUCUGCUCAGCGACCACAGGAAGGAGAUCCAGGAGCUGAUAGCAUAAGCUGCCUUACCAGCCACGUUUAGCCCCACCCUACAACAAGCAACAUCUUUAAAAGCUGCUGCCUCAUUGCUGCUCCUUCCUCCAAGAAGCUUCAACUGCAUCCUGAACACGGCCUCACACCCACACCUCUCCUCCUUGGCAUUAAGGAUCAGGGGCUUUGGUGGACAUAAAGAAACCGCACCGCAGUGCUACCUUGGAGCAACACACAGAAAGCUGCCACUGCACAGAUAAGAGUGAUGAAAAGAACUGGCCACAUAAAUAUAUACACCAUAUAUUGCAAUUACCUAUCAUUUUUAAUAAUUACUGUUAUAAUUAUUUAGAAUGAAAAAAAAAGAAAUGUAAAUAGGAGACAAUCAACGUGAAACCUCAUUUUACCACAGAUACGUAGACUGGAAACGGAGCAAAAAGCCACGUGGUUAAGAUUUUGGAAGAUGUAAAAUUCUUUAUACAUACGAACAAUACAUACAAAGUGAGAAGGGAGGGCUGCUAGGGAAAUAAUUUCAGGAGAAUAAGCCAAGUUAUUGCCUAUAAAGUUUGUCACAUAACCAACGUAAACUCAAGUAGGAACGUAAAGUUCUUGUUUACAGAGAAGGGGAUUUUAACAAGCCAUUAAUCUAUAAUUUCAUAUCACGAGUCAAGCAAUUUGCAAUUGAACAUUAGAAAAACUUGUACAGGUCACACCUGCUACUUACAGAAUGUUGACAUUCUUGCUAUAUUUCACAAAUAUACUGUCAAAUCUUGAAAAUACAAGAUGAAUUAAUGCAAUUAAGUUUUUGUUUGGAUUACUAAAACAAGCUGUAAUUGAUUGCUCAUAUUCUUUACUUCAUUAAUAACUCUCUAAUUAGCAAAAACUUAUCAGUAUCUGUGGCUGAAGGGUUAGCAGCCAGUGAUAAAAAUUCAGGUGCGAAAUAACCCAAUUUACAAUAUCAGAUGAUGUUAAUGAUUUCGUACAAAGAAGUAAGGUCCCAUGAAAUAUACCCUCAAUUCCUAUUACAACCUACUGACAAUCACAGUUUUAUAUCAUGCAAAGAUUACUAUACUUAUCUUCUCAUUAGUAGCUAAUUUCACUCAUUCCUCUUGCCAAGGUAAUUAAAAGACUUUUUUUUCAGGCUGAAAUGAAUUAAUAGGACACUUGGACUUCACUCAUUUUUCUCAUGGUAAAAGAAUAAGCACUUACACAAAAAUAUCAAAA